rnacentral:tRNA from 1 species
GGGCGCGUAGUGGAGUGGUUACCACGUUGGUCUUCGAUUUCCGAAUCGAACCAAAGUUCAUCAGUUCGAUCCUGGUCGUGCUCA